rnacentral:lncRNA from 1 species
CGAAUUUAUUUUAAUUGCUGCAAUGUUAUUCGUUGAGCACACAAGUAUAUGUGCGCUAAGCGAAUUCCAAAAUUUCCUUUUUUCAACUUCUCUUAUUCGCUCAGCGCACAGGUCUUGGUGCGCUGUGCGAAUCUAUUUUUUCUGGCUCUGCGAAUUUGGCUUGCGCUCUGCGAGAAUUGGUUGAUAUAUUCCCAUUUAUACAUCUUUU